AGAAAUAGGGCAUGGGAGGUUCCUGAGUGGAGUCAUAAUAGGAACUAAAAGUCUUAAAUCUGUAGCAAGCAGAAACUUUGUCUUAUGUGUGAUGUCCUAGAUUGCUCUGAUAGCUAAAGUAGUGAUUUUAGGCACUGCCAAUGGACAAAGAGGCAGCCCGUGGAAAAGUUCACAUACAUUCUGCAAAAUAAUGAAGGGGAAAGCCUCAAAAUCUGCUAUCACUCAGGAGAAGGGUGACAAUAUUAUGGACUAAUAGCACUCUGUUAAUGACCCAGACAAUGCUUGUUG